UACGAACCGUACAAACGUUAUUCGGAAUCACUGGGCUUAAAGGGUGCGUAGGCGGCCAUGUAAGUGGGGUGUGAAAUCCCUCGGCUCAACCGAGGAACUGCGCUCCAUACUGCAUGGCUUGAGGGAGACAGAGGUAAGCGGAACUGAUGGUGGAGCGGUGAAAUGCGUUGAUAUCAUCAGGAACACCGGUGGCGAAAGCGGCUUACUGGGUCUCUUCUGACGCUGAGGUACGAAAGCUAGGGGAGCGAACGGG
rnacentral:rRNA from 1 species